rnacentral:rRNA from 1 species
AACGGGUGGAAAACCUGCCCUUCAAUGGGGGAUAACAGUUCUAACGAACUGCUAAUACCGCAUACGACCUUUGGAUCGCAUGGUCCGAUGGUGAAAGAUGGCCUCUCUCUGAAGCUGUCGUUGAAGGAUGGUUCCGCCUCCCAUUAGCUUGUUGGUGGGGUAAUGGCCUACCAAGGCGACGAUGGGUAGCCGGCCUGAGAGGGUGUCCGGCCACACUGGGACUGAGAUACGGCCCAG